UUGUGUGAAGUUAUGUGACACAACACAAGAGGCUUCUCACUGCGCAGUCCCGCAGAAUGUUUUCCCCUCGUAUGCGGAACUUUCCGCCAUCUUAAGGACGAACUCAACACAGGACUCCUACUGAGAGUAAGAAAAUACACAAGGAAGUUUUUACAUCACACAUGGAAAAGUUGGAUGAUCAAGGUUCAACAAGGCUGUAAAGAAAUCAUAAUUUCAGGAGGUCUCAACUCAGUUUACAUGGUGGAUGCCCCACUAAACGACCCAGCAAUCUUUACUGGCUGUCUUCCAGUGCCCGUAAUUUGUUAUGCAUGCAAUUACUCAACAAGGAAUUAGGUGGAACUGUGGAGAGAAAAGAUGUUAGCGAAGGUGGGCAAUUCAAGAACCAAGUAGAAACGGAGUGCCCAUUUUUUAAAGGCUUAGAGACUUGGCAAAUGGUAUUACUGACCCAUGGUGACAACGUAGACAAGGUUGCAGAAGGGUUGCGUUGCGUCGCAAAAUGUUCGCGUCAUAUUAUUUCCGCUAUUGCUGAUACUGAACGCCGUCUUUAUGGAGUCUAGUUCCAUGAUUUGAUUGAAAACGAACGAAAAAUGUUGCACAAUUUCUUGUUCAACAUCUGUGGAUUGCAAGGAGGUUUCACAUUGAAGAAACGCGAGUAGCAGUGUAACAACUACAUCCGGCGUACGGUAGGACGUGAUAAGAUCGUGCUCAUGUUGGUAAGCGGCGGAGUUAAUUCCGCCGUUUGUGCUGCCCUUCUUCAUCAAGCACUUCUACAGGGUGACGACUCGAGUGCAGGACAUCCAUAUCGAUAUCGGUUUCCUGCGUAAAGACGAAUCUGAGCAAGUCGUCACUAGUUAACAGCAACUCGGGCUCAAUCUUCGGGUGAUUUGAGAUACUUUUCUGGACCGUUCAGAAUCUUAGGAUUGGCCAAAAUUCGAUACGAGAUUAAUUGAUACGUCGUCAUAUCACAUCUCAAAUUCUACGGUUUACAAUACUUGGUCUGUGACCGAGUUCCUUUAGGGACAGUUGCUUCUCAUUUCUUCUUCAUACCAGCGAUUACAUUUGAUGUUUCGAAUCGUUUUGGGUUGUUAAAUCAAGUUAGACUUUCUACGAUGCUUCCACCAACGACGCCAAACUUUGUCGUUGUGUCGGACUGUUGAUCCCGAAGAAAAACGUCGAAUUGUUGGCGAAACGUUUUUCAAAGUGGCAGAUGGAACUGCUAACGAUAUGAAUUUUAUUUAUUCCCUCCUCCCCCUCUCUAGCAGACGAA